UACGUAGGGUGCUAGCGUUGUCCGGAAUCAUUGGGCGUAAAGCGCGUGUAGGCGGCCCGGUAAGUCCGCUGUGAAAGUCGGGGGCUCAACCCUCGAAUGCCGGUGGAUACUGUCGGGCUAGAGUGCGGAAGAGGCGAGUGGAAUUCCAGGUGUAGCGGUGAAAUGCGUAGAUAUCUGGAGGAACACCGGUGGCGAAGGCGGCAUCCUGGACCGAUACUGACGCUGAGGAGCGAAAGCCAGGGGAGCAAACGGG
rnacentral:rRNA from 1 species